rnacentral:rRNA from 1 species
CCUACGGGAGGCAGCAGUGAGGAAUAUUGGUCAAUGGACGAGAGUCUGAACCAGCCAAGUAGCGUGAAGGAUGACUGCCCUAUGGGUUGUAAACUUCUUUUAUAUGGGAAUAAAACGUUCCACGUGUGGGAUUUUGUAUGUACCAUAUGAAUAAGGAUCGGCUAACUCCGUGCCAGCAGCCGCGGUAAUACGGAGGAUCCGAGCGUUAUCCGGAUUUAUUGGGUUUAAAGGGAGCGUAGGUGGAUUGUUAAGUCAGUUGUGAAAGUUUGCGGCUCAACCGUAAAAUUGCAGUUGAAACUGGCAGUCUUGAGUACAGUAGAGGUGGGCGGAAGUCGUGGUGUAGCGGUGAAAUGCUUAGAUAUCACGAAGAACUCCGAGUGCGAAGGCAGUUCACUGGACUGCAACUGACACUGAGGCUCGAAAGUGUGGGUAUCAAACAGGAUUAGAUACCCCUGUAGUC